AGGUGGGGUACAAAGGCUAAAAGUGCCACCUCGUGUGGCAACGCCUUCGUGACCAACAUCCUGUUGG
rnacentral:sRNA from 1 species